CACACUGGUAAAGUUUCAAGAUCAAUACAAAUAUUGGAAAACAGCUGAAACAAAGUUACCAGACGUACAAUUGAGGAAAUCACACAGAAUCAAUUAUUCCUACACAAUUAAAUUGUACAAUGUCAGAUAAAUCUAGCUACUGAAGUUCUGAGCCUGCUUGCAAGAAGCUAAGAGAAACCUCUGGGUCUUGACUACUACCAUGCUUGCUCAGGGUUUUAUGUCCCAGUUCCAGUCACUGAGCAAUGAUCUUUAGAGGAGUUCACACCAUUACUGUUCUGAGGCUUUGCAUUUAUCAAGGAUGUUCGCUCACUGGGAGGACUG
rnacentral:lncRNA from 1 species